CGCUGGCUUCAAGCUCGAGUCCUAGCACGUGACACCCGGCCACCGCUGAGGCGAGGUUGGAGGUGGAGGCGGAGGCUCGGGGCAGGAUUGCGGGAGAGGAAGUGGUGUGGCCUCUAAAUGGAGUCACCAGUUAACGCUGAAAGUCCUGAAUUGAAGGGGGAGCUUUUUAAAAGCACUGACAAGAGCAUCUUUCGUUCCAGGAGCUGAAGGUAUGACCCACUCUGACUCCAGGAGACCAUAAGCAGUUCCACCAUUGUUCCUCAAAAGGACUGCAAACAGCCGCUGCCCAGGACACAGCUAAAGACCACCGCCCAGAACAAGAAUGCUGAAGUCAUUUUUUUAAUCAAUUAGCUUUUCCCUGAAUUUCAAAACCUCUUACCAUACCUCAUUUAUUCCCUGCUAUAAAAAUCUUGGCCUGGAAAGACAAGAUGGUCUGGUAGAGUAUGAACCCACCAUAUUCUUAGAUGGCCAGCCAUCUGAAUAAAGCGCCCAUAAAGAUUCAAUCCCUGUCUCUGCUUAUUGGGUUUGGUAGUGACAGGCAGCCUGAACGCUGGUGUCUUUUCUGGUUUCACUAUCACCCAAGCUGGGUUCUCAAGGUAUACCCUGCUCUUGAGCCUUGGUUGCUGUUGGCAGAUCAAUGGGAGGGAUUUUCCCAGGCCAUUCGGUUGCAAGGAUUGGCUGUGACCGCUGACCACCACCAUCUGCCCUCCAUGGAGGAUCAGCUGUGCAGGGACAGGGUGGUGGUGCUCUGACAGGGUCUGUAGCUGUCCACUUGGGUGCACUGACCCCUGGGGGGUCCUGGAUGGUGCAGGCCAAGAUCAGCCCCCACCUGUGUUUUACUUGGGGCCACCCUGCCUGAGUUAUAAAGAUAUCUGAGGUGGCUGCUUCUUGUACUGGGCUUGAAGAUUUCCAGGUGAAGCCAAGCUGUGCAUCGAAGCUGCAAACUCCAGGCCUGGGAAUCACUGAGGACAGCUACUGCCAUUUGAGAGGAUUUAGGAAGUUGUGCAGCUUGAGCUAAGACCAGCCAUUCAUAUGGAAAAGUGGCUUGGAUGGGCCUAUAAGUUGGAUGGAGCAGGGUCUCUGGGGAUCUCCAAGGCAGGUCAAACAGUGUUAGUGAAGUUGAUGGAAUCUUAGCUAUGCCACCAGUCUGCCAGUUCUGUGGGGGAAGGGCUCAGCAAAGGGACAAUGGCCUCUGCUCACCUUGAUGCCAGAUACCUCAGCCCCUGCCUGCACCCACUGAUGCCACUCAAGCUGCCACCCCAGUGCUGGAACCCAGAGGGACCCCAGGUCCGGAAAAGCAGCAAGGCCUGGCAGGGCGAUGCCACAGCUGACAUCAGGACCAAGUGUGAUGACUAAAGACGCCCUGCUCUAGUGCCAGCCAAUCAGCAGAGACCGUGACCGUGAAAGGACACACCUGGAAAGCUGACGAAUGUUUCAUUGAGAUCCUCCUCUAGGACCUCCCCUGAGGUCCCCACCUUUAGAGAGGAUAAAAACCCCAGUACUGAGGCCCCAGCCCAUGUGAAUGCUGCCCCUUUCUCACAUCCAAACAUUGCCCCCUCCUCCCCCAGGAAUCUAGAUCCUUGCUUUCUUUCUCCUAAGCUCCAAAAGCCCCUUCUUUUGCUUCGAUAAUUCAUUUCCUGAGCCCAUACAGCCCAGCUGGCUCACUUUUUGUACCUUUUUGACUUUCUAAAUAAACAUUUUGUUACAGAACGGA